UCGGAGUCCCUUUCACUGGGGGGACAGGACACAAACCGGGGGACUUUCAGUGUCCCUUCUGUCCACAUCCAGAGCACACAGGAGCUGUUUCCUUGCUUUCAGGGCCACUGCGAUCUGCAGAGAGCUGCCCUUCUCCUCUACACUCUACAGAGAGGGUUACCGAGCCCGGGAGCUGUCCAGGUCUGAGGAUGUCCAGAGAUGAACUAUAGGAAGACUGGUACUGGGGAGUUGGAAUGGAAGUGGGAUACUCUCUUGUCCCAUGUUUUCCCAAGAUGUCCAGAGGCUGCCAGUGAAGAGCCAGGCUGACCAGAGGCGGCCAGUGGGAAGACCGAUAUGGCUGGGAGUUGGGAUGGAGGCGAGUCUCUCCUUCACUGGCUGUCCCUCCCAGGCGACGCUGGUCUUACAUGAUCGGGGCUGAUCGGACCAGUCUGGGAUCCACAGACUCCGAGGGGACAGAGUAGGAGUUGUCUUGGGGAGACAUCCAGGGUGUCCUGAUCUCUGCCUGCUGGAACCUGUGAGGAUGACGAUGAUGAAGAGCUGCAGGUGACCCUGAUUCAGGCUGCUCCCUGGAGAUGAGCUCCAGGCGGAGAGCCAGUGGACUCCUCCUAUCGGGGCUCCAGGGGGUGACCCUCAGGGCUGUGUCCUGACCUCCUGCUGUCUCUCGCCCCCAAGAACCUGGUCAGUGUGCUGUUGACACUCUCGUACCCGAGUCCAACACCAGCCUCCAGCCUGAGCCCAAGGUCAGGUUAUUCCUGUCACUCCUGUGUCACACUCAGGGCAUGAACACACAACCCUACUAGUGAGAGAGGAGAACUUAUAAAGUUACUAGCAUUGAUUAUUAGAGCCUGGUGAAGUAUUAUUGUUGAAUUAACACAAUCUUGAGUGACAGGUGAAUGCUGGGCUGAACACCGAUGACGAGGCACAGAGAGACUGCAGAGCCAGACUGCUGCCCUCGGACACACGGACCAGCUGUCACAGCUGUGCAGCCUACAGCAGCGUGUCCUGGGAUGGAGGUGGGAUGCUCUCUCCUGUCUCUUUCCCCUUUUCCAAUAAGUCCGGCGGCUGACACUGGGAAGACAUGUACGUAUGAAGAUUGAACCCUCUCCUGUUUCCUUUUCCCUAAUUUUCCAGGAUGUCCAGGGGCAGACAGUGGAGAGACAAGUAUGGCUGGGAUAGAGGUUGGAUGUUCUCUCCUAUAAUCUUUUCCCUGAUUUUUUUUUUUUAGGAUGUCCAUAAAAUUGACAGUGGGAAGACGGGUUUGGAGGAGUAGUUGGAAUUGAGGUUAACUCUCUCUCCUGUCUCUUUUCCCUAAUUUUCCAGGAUGUCCAGAGACUGCCAGUGGGAACACCAGUGUGGAUGAGGUGUUGGGAUGGAGGUUGAUGCUCUGUCCUGUGUUCAUUUCUGUAGUUUUCCCAAAAUGUCCAGUGGGAAGACGACGGACUGUCCAGUGGCAGACAGUGGGAAGAUGGGUAAGGAUGAGGAGUUGGAAUGGAGGUUGGAUGCUCACUCCUCGCUUUUCCCUAAUUUUCCAGAGGCUUC